CAGUAGCCGCGGUAAAACGGAGGGUGCGAGCGUUAAUCGGAAUAACUGGGCGUAAAGGGCACGCAGGCGGUGACUUAAGUGAGGUGUGAAAGCCCCGGGCUUAACCUGGGAAUUGCAUUUCAUACUGGGUCGCUAGAGUACUUUAGGGAGGGGUAGAAUUCCACGUGUAGCGGUGAAAUGCGUAGAGACGUGGAGGAAUACCGAAGGCGAAGGCAGCCCCUUGGGAAUGUACUGACGCUCAUGUGCGAAAGCGUGGGGAGCAAACAGGAUUAGAUACCCCCGUAGUCCCUGUCUCUUAUAC
rnacentral:rRNA from 1 species